GCAAUUGUAUUGUAGAGGGA
rnacentral:miRNA from 1 species